UACAGAGGAGCCAAGCGUUGUCCGGAUUGACUGGGCGUAAAGCGCACGCAGGCGGACGCGCGCGUGGGGAGUGAAAUCUGGCCGCUUAACGGCCAGGCGCCAUCCCAUACGGCGUGUCUGGAGUGAUGCAGAGGUCGGUGGAAUUGCCGGUGUAGUGGUGAAAUGCGUAGAGAUCGGCAGGAACACCCAGGGGGAAACCAGCCGACUGGGCAUCUACUGACGCUGAGGUGCGAGAGCGUGGGGAGCGAACCGG
rnacentral:rRNA from 1 species